UGGCGUCCAUAUGUUUUUUUCAGUUACAUUUCUUUGUAAAAUUUUAAGUAUUUUAAUAAGAAAAACACACAUUUUAGAUUGUUCCAAAUUCACUCUCGUGUUUUUAUUGAUAGAAAAAAGAUCGCAAUUAUUCAAGAUUCUGUUAAAAAGACAUACUGGAUGAUUUUAUUCACUAAAACAUACACAUCAGGGAGGUAAACAAAAACUCACUAUUUUGAAUAUUUUAAUUUUAUUCUGAAAUUUUAUAAAAAUAUUAUUUAUUUUUCUUUUAUUUUCUUUUAUUUUUCUUUUAUUUUCCUCAAUUUAUUUUUGAUUUUCCUGAAUUUUUAUCUAAUUGUUUCAAGUUAUUUCAAAAGUUUAUAUAACUUUUAUUUGUUAUACUGUUUUAUUUAUUAAAAUAAUGAAACAAAAUGAAAAAAGUAACUGCCACGUCCCCUAUUUUACCGACAAAUGAAAAGUACCGGUUGUAACUUUUACUUGACGAUUAAGUAAGCUAAUUUAAAUGUUUAAUGUAUUACGAAAAUUAGUUUCAUUGUUUAGAAUGUUAGAUGUCAAACAUGAAGAUUUAAAAUGUAAAUUUUUACCAACUUUAUGAUUUCAAAUGUGGUUUUUCUCAACAUAUUUAACCAUUGUGCUUAUUUACUCAACAAAUAAGAUCCAACUAGAACCUCAACACUUAUAGGCCGAAGUAUAACAAUCAUGUAGGGGUUGACAUAAGUCACUAGAAUGGUUAUCAUAAGAAGAUAAAAUCCAAACAAGAUCCCAUCAAAAUACUUGCCGCUAACGAGAUCCCAUCAAUGUACUUCCCUAAAGUAUAUAGUUUAACUGGAAAAUUUCAUAUAAAAAAAAAGGCCAACAUAACAGCACAAUGCCUUAGAUAAAGUCUUUUACAUAGUAACUUCUUGGAAGCUUACUAGUAUAUCAUUUUAUAUUGUGAAUUUAUUUUAGUAAAGAGUUUUACUUUUCUUUUUUUUUUUGCUAAAUUUUUUUUUCUUUUCCAACUAUAAAAUAUUCUAAAUCAUAUUGCUCCAAAUUAAUUUGAUUUGUAUAUUUUUUAACAAUAUAUGCUAUAUCACAGUGACUAUUCGUUGGACGUCCUUUCAUGGAUGUAGAAUUGUUGGGUAGUAGUUAAUUUUUUUAUUUAUUUAAAAACUAAUGCACUUGUUUAACAAAGAACAUUACUGUAUAUAAUUGUCCUUAUAAAAUAUGUAUGAUCUAAUAUUACUUUAGGGAAGUAUUUUGAUGGGAUCUUGUUAGGAUUUGGUCUUGUUAUGAUAACUAUUCUAAUGAGUUAUGUUGAUGUUUACAUGAUUGUUCUACCUCUGCCUAGAAGUGUUAUGUUCUUGGACUUCAUUUGUUGAGUAAUAAGGCAUAAUGGUUAGAUAUGUUCAUAUGUUUUUUCUAAAGUAAUGAGUUUUUGUCCAUCUCCCUAGUGUGUAUGUUUUAGUGGAUAAAAUCACAUAAUAUGUUUUUGUCCAAGUGAUGUACAAAGAGGCACUUUGUCCAAUUGAUUACAUAAUAUCUACACCAACCUAGACUGUGAGUCUUGUAGCUCAUAUGUUAUUUUUCAUUUGUAUUUCAUUAUUUUGACAUCUCUAUGUUUUUUUUUUUUGUAGUCACAUCUCUCUGUGAUUACUUGCAGUAUUUUAAUAAGGAAAAAAACAGUGUCCCAUGUUCCAAGUUCA
rnacentral:lncRNA from 1 species